GCAUUAAUGGGGUAGUGGUAACCUGGGUCGUUGCCAACCACUGUGUUCGACCCGCCGGGAGUUCGAUUCUCUCUUAAUGCA
rfam:Termitomyces sp. J132 unplaced genomic scaffold scaffold113, whole genome shotgun sequence.